rnacentral:tRNA from 1 species
GGGUUGUGGCUCUGUGGUAGAGCACUUGCCUAGCAUGUGUGAGGCUCUGGGUUCAAUUCUCAGAAGCCCA